rnacentral:rRNA from 1 species
ACUGAGACACGGUCCAGACUCCUACGGGAGGCAGCAGUGGGGAAUUUUGCGCAAUGGGCGAAAGCCUGACGCAGCAACGCCGCGUGGGUGAUGAAGGUCUUCGGAUCGUAAAACCCUGUCGUCAGGGACGAAGGUUAGUCGUUGAAUAGGCGAUUGACCUGACGGUACCUGGAGAGGAAGCCCCGGCUAACUCUGUGCCAGCAGCCGCGGUAAUACAGAGGGGGCAAGCGUUAUUCGGAAUUAUUGGGCGUAAAGGGCGCGUAGGCGGUUUUUUAAGUGAGAUGUGCAAUCCCCGAGCUUAACUUGGGAACUGCAUCUCAGACUGGAAGGCUAGAGUGCUGGAGAGGGUGGUAGAAUUCCACGUGUAGCGGUGAAAUGCGUAGAGAUGUGGAGGAAUACCAGUGGCGAAGGCGGCCACCUGGACAGUAACUGACGCUGAGGCGCGAAAGUGUGGGUAGCAAACAGGAUUAGAUACCCUGGUAGUCCACGCUGUAAACGAUGAACACUUGGUGUGG